GGGGUAGUAGUUAAAAAUAACAUUUAAUUUGCAAUUAAAAAGUACUAAAAUUAGUCUUCCUCA
rnacentral:tRNA from 1 species